GCCAAUGGGAGGGAGAGCACAAGCUACCAUUGAUGCCGUGGGGGAGGGGUAAACAAAUAAAAAAAAAAAAAAAUAUAUAUAUAUAUAUAUUUUUUUGUUUGUUUACCCCUCUCCCACGGCAUCAAUGGUAGCUUGUGCUCUCCCUCCCAUUGGCU